GAGAAGUCACUGCAGUUUCAUCUGCACAAGGCAGAUGUCUCCCUGGAACGGCCCUGGAGGGUUGUUGGGAGAACUUCUUUUCACUGGAUGUGAGCUGGGAGGUGGCUUGGGAAGACAACCAGGUGUGGAAGGCACGGGGAUCAGGAGGCCCUAAACGACCUACCCCAAGGAAACGAAGCAGCUGUCUCACCUGUGCCUGAUGCAGCGUGCAUCACCAGAAUAUCUCACCCUUUUGAUCUAUCCGUCCAUCCAUCCAUCCAUCCGCAUGUCUCUAUGGAGCCCUGGCUGUCCCAGAACCUGCUAUGUAGCCAGAAUGACCUCUGUCUCACAGAGAUCUGCCUGAGCAGCCUCCCGAGUGCUGAGAUUAAAGGUGUGCACCGCUACAUGCGGCCUAAAAGUAUUUUAAAAUUAAAGUAACUUUUAGAAUUAUUGUA